rnacentral:rRNA from 1 species
CAAUAGCGUAUAUUAAAGUUGUUGCAGUUAAAAAGCUCGUAGUUGGAUUUCUGGUCGGAAGCUCCUGUCCUCUGAUGAGCGUACAAGUGCGUCCUACCAUCCUCUGUUAACCUUUAAGGCUUUCGCGGCUUUCUAGGGGCUCAGAUAUUUUACCUUGAGAAAAUUAGAGUGUUUCAGGCAGGCUAGCGCCGGAAUACAUUAGCAUGGAAUAAUGGAAUAGGACUUUUGCCUCUUCUGUUGGUCAUGAGGCUCGAGUAAUGAUUAAUAGGGAUAGUUGGGGGCAUUAGUACUUAACUGUCAGAGGUGAAAUUCUCGGAUUUGUUAAAGACUAACUUAUGCGAAAGCAUUUGCCAAGGAUGUUUUCAUUAA